GUACACUCCUACGGGAGGCAGCAGUGGGGAAUCUUGCGCAAUGGGCGAAAGCCUGACGCAGCCAUGCCGCGUGAAUGAUGAAGGUCUUAGGAUUGUAAAAUUCUUUCACCGGGGACGAUAAUGACGGUACCCGGAGAAGAAGCCCCGGCUAACUUCGUGCCAGCAGCCGCGGUAAUACGAAGGGGGCUAGCGUUGCUCGGAAUUACUGGGCGUAAAGGGAGCGUAGGCGGACAUUUAAGUCAGGGGUGAAAUCCCGGGGCUCAACCUCGGAAUUGCCUUUGAUACUGGGUGUCUUGAGUAUGAGAGAGGUGUGUGGAACUCCGAGUGUAGAGGUGAAAUUCGUAGAUAUUCGGAAGAACACCAGUGGCGAAGGCGACACACUGGCUCAUUACUGACGCUGAGGCUCGAAAGCGUGGGGAGCAAACAGGAUUAGAUACCCUUGUAGUCCCAUG
rnacentral:rRNA from 1 species